GACGAACGCUGGCGGCGGGCUUAACACAUGCAAGUCGAGCGGAAAGGUCCUGCUUUCUUGGGGUGCCCGAUGGGCGAACGGGUGAGGAACACGAGAGUAUCCUGAACUUGACUUUGGGAUAGCGUCAGGAAACUGGGGCUAAUACCGGUAAGGAGCGUCUGCUGCUUGGGGGGGGCUGGAUAGUUUAGGCGGUUGGGGAUGGACUCGCGGCUUGUCAGCUAGUUGCGAGGGUAGUGGAUUACCAAGGCUUUGACGGGCAGGCGGCCUGAGAGGGUAACCGGCCACAUGGCGACUGAGAUACGGCCCGGACUCGUACGGGAGGCAGCAGUGGGGACGUAUGCACAAUCGACGGAAGGCUGAUGCAGCAAGGCCGCGCGCGGGAUGACAGCCUUCUGUUAGGAGAGCACAUUCGCCUGUGACGGAGCGUGAGUGACGGUACUGGAUGAAGAAGCACCGGCUAACUCCGUG
rnacentral:rRNA from 1 species